CUACGGGAGGCUGCAGUGGGGAAUAUUGCACAAUGGGCGCAAGCCUGAUGCAGCCAUGCCGCGUGUAUGAAGAAGGCCUUCGGGUUGUAAAGUACUUUCAGCGGGGAGGAAGGGAGUAAAGUUAAUACCUUUGCUCAUUGACGUUACCCGCAGAAGAAGCACCGGCUAAAUCCGUGCCAGCAGCCGCGGUAAUACGGAGGGUGCAAGCGUUAAUCGGAAUUACUGGGCGUAAAGCGCACGCAGGCGGUUUGUUAAGUCAGAUGUGAAAUCCCCGGGCUCAACCUGGGAACGGCAUCUGAUACUGGCAAGCUUGAGUGUCGUAGAGGGGGGUAGAAUUCCAGGUGUAGCGGUGAAAUGCGUAGAGAUCUGGAGGAAUACCGGUGGCGAAGGCGGCCCCCUGGACGAAGACUGACGCUCAGGUGCGAAAGCGUGGGGAGCAAACAGGAUUAGAUACCCUCGUAGUC
rnacentral:rRNA from 1 species